rfam:Gossypium hirsutum cultivar TM-1 unplaced genomic scaffold scaffold866.1, whole genome shotgun sequence
AAUAAGAAAAUGACAAGUCAGAUUUUUCCUCCUGAUUUUCAGCUUUUUCCUCCUGAAAAAAAUUCAAAUCCAACUAAAAAUGCUAAAAAUCAGGAGGAAAAAUCUGAUUUAUCAUUCUCCUAUU